UGUUGUUGUUUUUCUGGAAGGCACGCGCCUUUUUUCGUCUUUUCACUUGCGAUUACUUAAGUGAAGGAGAAGUACAAGCAAAAGUACAAGCAAUUAACUUUGUUAUAUUAAAUAUACAAGUGGCUUAAAAGUGAAAGAGAAACUAUUCCCAGACAAGGCUAAUGGUAAAUCUAUAAAAAAAAUGGAAGGCUAAGUCGAUCCAUUUUAAGCAUAUUAUCCGAGGAACUUGUUCUAUCCCACAACUUGGAAGGGGGCCAAAACAAGAAGAAGCUCAAAGUCUACCCAAAUUUCGUCUGCGCCUUAUUAAAUGCAAUCGCUCUGGUGGAGCCCUCGGAGCCUCCCGAAAAGGCGCUGCAGAAGGCAAUGCGGUGCGUUAAAGACUUGAGUUGCACCAAAAAAAAGGCAACGCCGGCACCAGAUGCUGAAGAGGAGGUGCCAACGACCCCGAUAACGCCGGGAACCCCCGAGCUCAAAUUAUAAAAUAAAUAAAUGCAAAUAAAAAUUAUAACUAAAAUUAUA